GGAAUAUAAGAACCCGUCUCUUAACUAAAAAAGCUAAGAACCAGCUCUUAAAUAAAAGAUUUAAGAACCGGUUCUUAGUUUUUUUAGUUAAAAAUUAAGAGACGAUUUCUUAUAUUCC
rfam:Brassica napus, WGS project CCCW01000000 data, contig: 7199